GAUGGACGCUGACAGAAUGCUUAACACAUGCAAGUCGAGGGGCAGCAUGGGCUUAGCUUGCUAAGCCCGAUGGCGACCGGCGCACGGGUGAGUAACACGUAUCCAACCUUCCGGUAACUCCGGUAUAGCCUUUCGAAAGAAGGAUUAAUCCCGGAUAGUAUGGUGAUUCCGCAUGGUUUCUCCAUUAAAGGAUUCCGGUUACCGAUGGGGAUGCGUUCCAUUAGGCAGUUGGCGGGGUAACGGCCCACCAAACCCACGAUGGAUAGGGGUUCUGAGAGGAAGGUCCCCCACAUUGGAACUGAGACACGGUCCAA
rnacentral:rRNA from 1 species